rnacentral:rRNA from 1 species
GGUCUAAUCUGCCCACUGAUAUUAAUUGAAGGGCCGCGGUAUUUUAACCGUGCAAAGGUAGCAUAAUCAUUAGUUUUUUAAUUGAAGGCUUGUAUGAAUGAUUGGACGAGAUAUUAGCUGUUUCAUAUAAAAUUUAAUAGAAUUUUAUUUUUUAGUUAAAAAGCUAAAAUAAUAGUAAAAGACGAGAAGACCCUAUAGAUCUUGAUAAUUUAUAUAUUUUAUUUAUAUAGAAAUUUUUAAGUAUUAUAUUUAUAAUUAUUUUAUUGGGGUGAUAAUAAAAUUUAAUGAACUUUUAUAUAAAUUUUACAUUAAUUAAUGAAUAAUUGAUCCAUUAUUAGUGAUUAAUAAAUUAAGUUACCUUAGGGAUAACAGCGUAAUUUUUUUAGAGAGUUCAUAUCGAUAAAAAAGAUUGCGACCUCGAUGUUGGAUUAAGAGAUAAAGUUGGGUGUAGAAGUUCAAAUAUUUAGGUCUGUUCGACCUUUAAUUUCUUACGUGAUCUGAGUC